rnacentral:snRNA from 1 species
GGAUGUGAGGGCAAUCUGGCUGCGACAUCUGUCACCCCAUUGAUUGCCAGGGUUGAUUUGGCUGAUCUGGCUGGCUAGGCGGGUGUCCCCUUCCUCCCUCACCACUCCAUGUGCAUCCCUCCUGAAGCUGCGUGCUUGGUUGAAGAGGAUGACCAUCCCCGAUAGAGGAGGACCGGUCUUCAGUCAAGGGCAUACGAGUAGCUGUGCUCCCCUGCUAGAACCUCCAAACAAGAUCUCAAGGUCCAUUUGGUUCUUUUUUGCAAUUGCUGGUACUU